UAGAGUUUGAUCCAUGGCUCAGGACGAACGCUGGCGGCGUGCUUAACACAUGCAAGUCGAACGCUGAAGCACCAGCUUGCUGGUGUGGAUGAGUGGCGAACGGGUGAGUAAUACGUGAGUAACCUGCCCUUGACUCUGGGAUAAGCCCGGGAAACUGGGUCUAAUACUGGAUGCUACAUGUCACCGCAUGGUGGUGUGUGGAAAGGGUUUACUGGUCUUGGAUGGGCUCACGGCCUAUCAGCUUGUUGGUGAGGUAAUGGCUCACCAAGGCGACGACGGGUAGCCGGCCUGAGAGGGUGACCGGCCACACUGGGACUGAGACACGGCCCAGACUCCUACGGGAGGCAGCAGUGGGGAAUAUUGCACAAUGGGCGAAAGCCUGAUGCAGCGACGCCGCGUGAGGGAUGACGGCCUUCGGGUUGUAAACCUCUUUCAGCAGGGAAGAAGCCACAAGUGACGGUACCUGCAGAAGAA
rnacentral:rRNA from 1 species